GGAGAGAUGCCGGAGUGGUCGAUCGGGGCGGUCUCGAAAACCGUUGUGCUUGCAAAGGCACCCAGGGUUCGAAUCCCUGUCUCUCCG
rnacentral:tRNA from 1 species